rnacentral:rRNA from 1 species
AUGGUCUACUUAAGAUUACAACCAUAUCCUCAAUCUACUGUGGUAAAUUGCCCAUGUCACAAGCUAGCGCUCAAAUACUUUGGCCCUUACAAAGUUCUGGACAAAGUGGGAAAUGCAGCAUAUCGAUUGGAGUUACCAAGAGGGAGCCAAGUACACCCGGUCUUCCAUGUUUCACAGCUGAAGGGACACGUUCCAGAUCACACCCCAGUGUUCACCUCUUUACCAGUACCUGUGGAUCUUUCAGUGCCAGGUGUGGUGCCUGAGGAAAUUCUUGAUCGGCUGCUGGUCAAGAAGAAGAACACAGCACAUUUACAGAUCCUGGUGAAAUGGGCGCCGCUGCCUGCUGCAUCAGCAACCUGGGAGGAUUACGACAUCCUCAAGUUGAAGUUUCCACGUGCACCAGUUUGGGUACAAGCUGGUUCUUCAGGGGAGGGUACUGUUUUGAAAAUAGAGAAUACUCUGAAUCUAUCAUAUCUUAUCUCUUCCUGUCCACCGCUCGUCUCUAAGCUCUGUCCCUCUUCUUCUGCUAUCUCUCUCUCUCUGAUCAUCGUCGUCAACUCCGACCGCCGUAGGGCCGUGACAUGGAGCCGAUCCACGGGUGGAGGAAGGAAGCGAGUCCUGUCGCCGGCGGCUGGUAUGAGAAAACCAGACCCGGGGUCGGGGGUGAUCCAUGAGAAUACCAAGGAUUUCGAGCGAAAGCAUGGCGGCGGCGUGCACGCGGGCACGAGACCUAACGCUC